rnacentral:lncRNA from 1 species
CAAGUCGAACCAUAAACAAUCACUAGAGUAUCCCAAAAUCUGUUAUCACAAGUGCAUGACCAUUUACUGAGGAGUACAAUAAUAAUAUAACAUCUUUCUGAAAUGUAAACAAGACAUGAUAAAAUAAAUAGUACGAUGGAGACUCUGUGGGUUGCGAUGCGUAGCCUGGAAUGCAGCUCACCAUAAAAUCUGCUACGCGCCAAGAUGACCACCAAAUGAACCUGUCAGAUCCUGCAUAUUUAGUGCAGAAGUGCAGCAUGAGUACGUAAAUCAAUGCGUGCCCACUAAGUAUCUAGACUAAUCUCGGAGAAGUAUUGAGGAUGGGUCGACAUCGACACUUACUAAUGGUCCAAUAAAUCAGUAUGAUAAUUCAUAAACAGAUAUGAAGUACAACAGUUGUAGUGAGGUAAAAAAACUGUAACUAACAUAAUUUUUCAAAAUUUCUUUUAACGAUAUAAAUUUCUCAAUCUCGUAUUCUACCUCAACAGCUCGGUAAAUAUCAAGCGCCAAUAACAAACAGAUAAGGAGUACCAUAUAAAACUCCAGGCAUCAUUGGAAGGAAAAUCUCGUGAAUAUUUAGACUGCUAAUGUCGAGGUCCAACGACAUGAUCAAGAGUGGUGUGUACACUGCCGAGGGUCGACCGGUGCAAACCAGAGAUGCAUAUCAAUAUACUGCUGAGGCGUUCGGACCGCUCCACAAGAAAAGAAGAAACUUAUCGAAUUACGAGUCAUGUGCUUACAACAUAGAUACAGGUGCAUAAUAGUGAAUAUACCCCUUUCUAUUUNNNNNNNNNNNNNNNNNNNNNNNNNNNNNNNNNNNNNNNNNNNNNNNNNNNNNNNNNNNNNNNNNNNNNNNNNNNNNNNNNNNNNNNNNNNNNNNNNNNNNNNNNNNNNNNNNNNNNNNNNNNNNNNNNNNNNNNNNNNNNNNNNNNNNNNNNNNNNNNNNNNNNNNNNNNNNNNNNNNNNNNNNNNNNNNNNNNNNNNNNNNNUAUUACAUGAUAAAGUCUUAAGUCUACCCGUACAUAAACAUGAUUUAGCUACGUAUGGACUCUCGUUACCUUGUGCGUACAUAACACCCACAAUUAGUAGCACAUAACAAUUACAACACCUAGGGGGUAGUUUCUGUAACGACCCGACCAGUUAUUUCAUGAGUUAUUGCUCUGUUUCGCCUAUUUCUGCUUCUCUAUGUCCUGUUCAGCUGUAUUAUGUGGUAUCGGGUUAGUUGGUUCGGGUUUGGAGUGGUUUUGGAGAGGUUUGAGAAACUUAAUCUUUUUUGAGCAAGCUUGAGUUAGAAAAGUCAACCGGACAUUGACUUAUGUGAAAAGGGCUCGGAUGUGAAUUUUGAUGGUUUGGAGACUUGAUUUGGGGAUUUGGGGGGUCGUUUGUGGUCGGAUUUUGGUUUAUUUAGUAUGUAUGAACUCGUGAGAGUGUGAGGAUUCUAGCUUUGUGAUUUUUAUCAGAAUUCAAGACGUGGUCCCAGGGGUCGGGUUUGGCCAAUUUCAGGAUUUUUGAGUUAAAUUGAUAAUUUUCAUAUGGGUUUCAUUCCUUUAGCGUAUAUUGAUGGUUGUAUGCUGAUUUUGGUUAGAUUCGGGGUAUUUGGAGGCCGAAUCGAGAGGAAAAGGCGUCGCGGGCUAGAGCUUGGCUUGGCUUGAGAUAAGUAACGCUUCCAAACUUGGUUCUGAGGGUUUGAAACUGCGAACAAUAUGUUCUAUGAUUACUAUUAAGGUGACGCAAAUGCCAUGUGACGGGUGUAUGGGCGUGCACCGUGAGAAAUGCGGCCUAUAUCAUUCUAGAGCGCCGCUUAGUGCCUCUUUCUUGUUGAUAUCUGUGUUUUAUUUAUAUGAUUAAGUUAAUGAGCUUCAAAUCAUGCUAAUUAUCAUGCUAAGGCUUCACGCUAACACUGUUGAGACCCUAGAGGUCGUUUCUUGUUAUCAUUCCAUUAGCUUCAUUUAUGUUCUAUACUCAGUCAUGUUCAUGCAUGUUAUAUCAUGCCUCGGUCUCGAUUCUUGCUAGUUGACAUAUCAUAUCAUUGUUUGGGAUAGUAUCAUGACAUUUUGAGCCCUUAUAUGUGAGACUGGAGAGUAUUGACUGAGUGAGGCCAAGAGCCUGGUAUUGAUUGACAGUGUAGGAUCAGGCUGCAUGCCGCAACGAGAUAUUGAUUAUGCCUUCGCUGGCACUGAUAUAGCACUUGGGCUAAGAAAAGCCCCUCUGGAGUCUUUACACCCCCAGUGAGCGCAGUUGAUGAUAUUGAGGGAUGGAUCUUCCCUGGACAUGGAUCUUGUCCGAAGUAUUGGUAUGGAGAUGGAUCUUCUCUAUGAGGUAGGAUUGCAUUGUUUCCUCGGUACUGGGUGACUUACAGUCAGUGAUGUGUAUCUUCUGUGAUGGAUCUUCCCUGGGCCGAAUGGGCCAUAUACAGUACCAAGUGGUUAAGCACUGUGAGUGGAAGUAUUAUACAUAACAUUGAUCAUGCUAUUUGUGCAUUGGUAUUUAGAGGUUCCUGAGCUUUAUACACAAUAUUGUUCAUACUAGGUUUAAUCACUGCUGAGAAUUUACUUGAACUGUAAGCAUGUCUACUUUUCUAUAAUUAAAUGUUGCUACCUAUUGAGGUUUGGUUCGCCACUACCGCUAGUCCAUAGUUUGGACUUGUUACUUACUGAGUUGGUGUACUCACGUUACCCCUUGCACCCUGGUGUGCAGAUCCAGGUAUCUCGGGGCACAACAGCGGUUGUUGAUCACACCAGUUGGAAACUUUCUGUGGAGAUUGCGAGGUAGUUGCAUGGCGAUCACAGUUCCGCCUUCUCCUUUCCUUAUCUUCCUUUAGUAUAUUUGUUUGGAUAUUCUCAGACCGUCUUGGUCAGGUUAUUUCGAACAAAUGUUGUAGAUUUAGCUCAUGACUUAGUGACACCGGAGGUCGGGAUUGUGUUUCUUUCAGCUGGAUUUUGAUUUCUACUUUUAUCUUAUUGAAUUUCUUUUAAAAUUAUGAUUUCUUAAGUUUUUAUUGAAAAAUGGAUAAUUUGGAAAUAAGUGGCUAGCCUAGUAUCACGAUAGGCACCAUCACGACAUGGUUAGAUUUUUGGGCUGUGACAUGUUGGUAUUAGAGCCUAGGUUACAUAGGUCUCAUGAGUCAUGAGCAGGUUUAGUAGAGUCUCACGGAUCGGUACAGAGACGUUUGUAUUUAUCCUCGGGAGGCUGCAUAACCUUUAGGAAAACUUCAUAUUUUUGAAUUCUUGUCGUGCGAAUCUAUUGAUCCUAGUACUAAACUUCUGUUAUUCUACUCUCUCACAGAUGGUGAGGACACGUAUUACCGGUCAAAAUGGAUGACCACCAGUACCACCAGUUGGCGCUGCUAGAGGCCGAGGACGCGAUCGAGGCCGUGGUAUGGGUAAGGGUGUGGCUGAUAAGUAGGGAUUUUAAUGAGUUUCAUGCUCCUUCUUGCCUAUGCUUUGAUUAUAAAUCCUUACAAAAUAGUCCCAAAAGGCUCAUAAGUUGUGCUUGAUUGCAGGUUUGAUCGACAAAGUGACAAAAUGUCAAAGAUUGGCUCAAAAGGAGUGAAACCUGCUCAAGUAUCAAAGACAAAGUAAACUGAGGGCAAACAUGCCUAGUGCGGACCGCACAAAGUCGAAUGCUGCCGCACUAGGUGAUUCAGAGAGAUGGCAAAACCAGGCUUCAGGCAACGCGGACGUAGUCCACAUUGCGCGGUUUGCGGUAAAAGUUUUGCGGCCGCACUGCCUUUUUGUGCGGUCCGCGGAAGAGAGAUUCAGAGAGAUGACAAAAACCAGGCUUCAGGCAAUGCGGCCGCAGUACACAUUGUGCAGUCCACGUUAAAGGUUCCGUGACCGCACUACCUUUUUGUACGGUCCACGGAAGAGAUAUUCAGAGAGAUAAAAAAUGUCAAUGCGGUCCGUGGUCCAUUCUACGCGGUCCGUGGAGCCCAAGUCAGAGAGCCCAGAAUUGAAGUCCAAGAGCCUAGCACGGUCGCGGUCUAUUUUGUGCGGCCCGCGCUGACCCCGCAGGGGUAUUUUUGUCCAGUUUUUCCAGCCUAGUAUAAAUAGAAUAUUUUACCAUUUUUAGAUCAUUAGAUAUAUCCAGAACUUAGCUGCGCUCGUGGGAACUUCAUCUGUAGCCAUUUUUGUCAUCUUAGCUUCAAAUUAACGAUNNNNNNNNNNNNNNNNNNNNNNNNNNNNNNNNNNNNNNNNNNNNNNNNNNNNNNNNNNNNNNNNNNNNNNNNNNNNNNNNNNNNNNNNNNNNNNNNNNNNNNNNNNNNNNNNNNNNNNNNNNNNNNNNNNNNNNNNNNNNNNNNNNNNNNNNNNNNNNNNNNNNNNNNNNNNNNNNNNNNNNNNNNNNNNNNNNNNNNNNNNNNNNNNNNNNNNNNNNNNNNNNNNNNNNNNNNNNNNNNNNNNNNNNNNNNNNNNNNNNNNNNNNNNNNNNNNNNNNNNNNNNNNNNNNNNNNNNNNNNNNNNNNNNNNNNNNNNNNNNNNNNNNNNNNNNNNNNNNNNNNNNNNNNNNNNNNNNNNNNNNNNNNNNNNNNNNNNNNNNNNNNNNNNNNNNNNNNNNNNNNNNNNNNNNNNNNNNNNNNNNNNNNNNNNNNNNNNNCAGUGGCCCGCACAACAGCUAGGGAAACACUUGCAGAUCCACCCACCGCCCCAGUUCAUGAUCAGACUCCAGCGGGGGAUGCUCCAGCAGCACCAGCUCAGGCACCGACUGUGCCUAUUGUUAUUCUGGGUCUCUAGAAGACUUUGGCUCAGAUUCUAACUGUGUGCACCAGUCUUGCUUAGGUAGUCGCAGUUUCUACAACAGUAGCUACUUCUUAGGCCGGGGGAGGCACUCAGACUCCCGCUGCCCGUACACCCGAGUAGGUUGUUCAAGGACUCUAGACACCGAAGGUACCACCAGCCCAGCCGGUUGCACCUGCUCAGGAUUUUGUGGUUCCAGUUAUGUCUGAUGACGAACAAUGUAGAUUGGAGAGGUUUGGUAGACUUUAGCACUUUCGGCGGCACAGAGGGCGAGGAUGCCCAGGGUUUCUUAGAUAAGUGUCAGAGGAUGUUGUGUACAACGGGUAUUCUAGAGACUAGUGGGGUCUCAUUUACUACUUUUUAGUUUUUUGGAGCUGCCUUCACUUGGUGGGAGGCUUAUGAGAGGCGUAAGCCUAUUGGUGCACCACCCCUUACCUGGCAUCAGUUCUCCAUUCUCUUCCUAGAGAAGUAUGUACCGCAUUCCCGCAGAUAGGAGCUGUGCAGGCAGUUCGAGCAACUGCGUUAGGGGGAUGUGACCGUGUCGCAGUAUGAGAUGAGGUUCUAUGAGUUGGCCGGUCAUGCUAUCUGGCUAGUUCUCACGGAUAGGGAGAGGAUCAUGAGGUUAGUUGAUGGCCUCAACUAUCAGCUAUGGGUUUUUCUGACGAGAGAGAGAGGGAGAGAGAGUAUGUGGCGCUUCUUUUGAUGAGGUGGUUGACAUUGCUAGAGAGAUAGAGUCAGUGUGCCGCCAGGAGUGGGAUGAGAGGGAGGCCAAGAGGUUUUAGGGAUCUGGUAGCUUCAGUGGUGCUCCUUUAGGAGGUCAGUCUCAGCACGACAGAGGGCGCCCAUUCAGACAUUCUCAGCCAUCCCGUUCAGGUCAUCGUGGUGGGACAUCUGGCCAUGGUUCUCACAGUUUGCAUAAGGGUCACUCGUCUUUUAGUGCCCUUCCAGCUCAGAGUUCGACUCAGGCACCAUCAGUUCAGGGCUCAUCUAUGACUGUUUCUUCUAGUAGGCAUCCUAGUGAGCGGGGCUCCCUUUAGUUCCCACUGCCACUUGCUACGAAGGAUUGCUUCGAGUGUGGAGAUUUGGGUCGUGACAUGUUGGUAUUAGAGCGAUUGGUAAAGAUCUAUAUCCUAGAGAUUGUUCGUUUGCAUGGUGUUCCAGUUUCCAUCAUUUUAGAUAGAGGUACUGAGUUUACUUUGCAGUUUUGGAGAGUCGUGCAGUGAGAGUUGGGUACUCAGGUUGAGUUGAGCAAUACUUUUCACCCUCAGACAGACGGUCAGUCCGAGCACACUAUUCAGAUAUUUGAGGAUAUGUUGCGUGCUUGUGUCAUUGAUUUUGGAGGGGCAUGAGAUCAAUUUCUACCGCUUGCAGAGUUUACUUACAAUAACAGUUAUCAGCCGAGUAUUCGUGUGGCUCCAUAUGAGGCUUUGUAUGGGAGAUGGUGUAGAUCUCUAGUUGGUUAGUUUGAGCCGGAUGAGGCUCAACUUUUGGGUACAGACUUGGUGUAGGACACUUUGGACAAGGUGAAGGUGAUUCAGGAGCGGCUUCGUACAACGCAGUCGAGAUAAAAGAUUUAUGCUGACAGGAAGGUCCGUGAUGUGUCCUACAUGGUUGGGGAGAAGGUUCUGUUGAAGGUUUCACCCAUGAAGGGUGUUAUGAGAUUUGGGAAGAAGGGUAAAUUGAGUCCUCAGUUCAUUGGACCUUUUGAGGUGUUUCGGAGGAUGGGGGGUGGCUUAUGAGCUUGCUUUUCCACCCAGCUUGUUGAGUGUGCAUCUGGUAUUUUAUGUUUCUAUAUUCCGAAAGUAUAUUGGCAAUCCGUCCCAUGUUUUGGAUUUAAGCACGGUUCAGUUGGAUAGUGAUUUGACUUAUGAUGUGGAGCUAGUGGCUAUUUUGGGGCGUCAGGUUCGAAAGUUGAGAUCAAAGAAUAUAGCUUCAGUGAAAGUGUAGUGGAGAGGUCAGCCCGUGGAGGAGGCUACCUAGGAGACCGAGCGGGAGAUGUGGAGCAAAUAUCCUCACCUAUUUGAGGCUUUAGGUAUGUUUCUUGACUCGUUCGAGGACGAACAUUUGUUUAAGAGGGGGAUGAUGUAAUGACCCGGCCGGUUGUUUCAUGAGUUAUCGCUCUGUUUCCCCUAUUUUUGCUUCUUUAUGUUAUGUUCAACUGUAUUAUGUGGUAUCGGGUUAGUUGGUUCAGGUUCGGAGUGGUUUGGAGAGGCUUGAGACACUUAGGGGUCGUUUGGUAGGGUGUAUAAGAAUAAUGCUGAAUAGAAUGUAUUGGUAAUACUGGUAUUAGUUAUGCUUGCAUUAGUUAUGUUGACAUUAGUUAUGCUGAGACAUUUCUUAUCCAUUGUUUGGAUUGAUGUAUUAAAGCAUUGCAUAAUUUCUAAAAGAAUUGUUUGUUUACAAAAAUGCCCUCAAAACCAGUCCAUCACUCUAUCUUUUUAAAAGAAACAUAUGUUGAAAAAUAUUUUUAUUUGAAAAAGUUUUUUAAAAAAUUAUUUAAUUUGUCUACUUGUAUAGUAUAGAACAGAAUAUUUAUUUAUAAAAAGAAAAUAUGCUAAGUAUUUAUUUAUUUACUAGGGAUAUAAUUUUAUUUCUCACUAUUUGUAUUAUUUCAAACUUGAAUUAAUAUAAUAGCAUAUUUUAAUUAAGCAUAUAUUGUGAAAAAUAAUUGUCUUUAACUAAGCUAAUGCAUGCAUUAAAACCCAUUGCAUUGUUAAUACCAUAGUUUUCUAUGCAUUAGUUAUGCAUAAGAUAAUACCAAAUAGGGUGUGUAACUAAUGCUUGCAUAACUAAUGCAUAUAUUCAAAAUAUGUACCAAACAAGACAUUAUUAAUACAUAAAGCUAAUGCAUGCAUUAUUUUAUCUAAUGCAUCCUACCAAACGUCCCCUUAGUCUCUUUUGAGUAAGCUUGAGUUAGAAAAGUCAACCGGAUGUUGACUUAUGUAAAAAAAGGCAUGUGAAUUUUGACGGUUCGGAUAGCUUCGUUAGGUGAUUUGGAACAUAGGAGCGUGAUCAGAAUGUAAUUUGGAGGUCCGUGGUAGAUUUAGGCUUGAAUUGGCGAAGUUGGAAUUUUGGCACUUUUAGUUUUAGUUUGGUAAUGGAAAUUUUGAUAUCGGGGUCGGAAUGGAAUUCCGAAAAUUGGAGUAGGUCCUUUGUGUCAUUUUUGACGUGUGUGCAAAAUUUCAGGUCAUUCGGAGGUGGUUUGAUAGACUUUUUCAUCGUUUGCGGAAUUCGGAAGUUUUGGGAAUCUUAGGCUUGAAUCCAAGGGUGUUUUGACUAUUCGAUGUUGUUUGAAGUGUUUCCGAAGGUUGGUAUAAGUUUGAAUAGUGUAAUGUGACUUGUUCGUACUUUUGGUUGAGGUCCCGGGGCCCUCGGGGUGAUUUUGGAUGGUUAUCGGGAAGUUUGGGAGUUGGAGUUUGCAGCUGAAGCUGCUAAAGUUCUGUCAUAAUCGCACAUGUGGUUAGGGGGCCGCAGGUGCGAUGACCACAGAAGCAAAAUCAAGCCACAAAUGCGGCCACAGGUGAGGAAGACAGAAGUCGCAGAUGCAGAGAGUGGAGCGCACAUGCGAAGGCGCAUGUGUAGAUAUUUGAGCGCAGGUGCGGUUGUAGACAUGUGAUUUUUGACCCUCCCCAAUAUCUUUCAUAUUUUAGCAUGUAUAUGUUUAGUUUAGGCCUAAUAUCGCUAUUUAAAUUAGUUUUGACUCUUUUACUUUAUUUCGUCACAAAUAUAAAAAUUACAAAAAAAAAUAUUUUAGUUUAUGUAUCUUUCAUAAAUUUAAAUAAAAAAUAUACAAAAAUAGUAACUUAUUUUAAUUUAUAUAUAAUCUUGAAAACAAAAAAAAACAGUUUCAUGUUUUAAUAUAGUUUAGUUUAAUCAAUUAGAAUUAGUUUUAUAUUAUAAAUUGUAUAUAAUUUUAGAAGAAGGAAUUAGUUUUGAGUUGGGUUACCCCGUCUUUAUGAAUUUUGUAGUUUUUUUAGUCUUUGGCCCAAUUUUAAGGCUCAAUAAUAUCAAACUCAUACCCCUUAACCUAAAAACCUUUCUAUAUAACUAAAAACCUGCCUAGAAAUCCCUAGACCGUAGACCCUAGACCCCUAAGCAGCGCCGUUCAACAUCAGGAACCUCCCCCCGCGUGGCUUCUUCUUCACUGAUAAUACACACACAGAUACAAUGAGAACCCCAAGACCAGCAGAGCUACCAGCCGCAUAACACCAAAAAUGACCCCAUCUGUUCUGCUUCUUCUUCAACAAAGCACCCACCCCUUCACCAUUGGAGAAGCCAAAGCAGCCACCAUUUUGAAUCUCCAAAAAACCCAACAUCGGCGAAUCUCUUCCACGCCGAAGCCAUCAACGACCAUCUUCUUCAACCCUCACACUCCAUAGCUCCUUCUUCUUCACCUCAUAACAGACCGGUAGCAGCUCUUUCACAACCAAAAAUGCCGGAAACUGGCAACCACUCACACACACGAGGGGUUGAGAACAAAAAUCAAAAAAGCUUCUGGAUAGAGAAUUUGGGACAAAUUUUGGGGAUAAAAUUGGGGAGGAAAGCAGAGAAACGAGUUUUCUUCUUUCCAUUUUUUUCAAUUUUAGUUUCUUUUGAAGUUUUCUUUUAAAUUCAAAAAAAAAUCAGAAAAGUAAAGAUAUAUUCUGGAAUUUCUUCUUCUUUGAUGUGGUUUUCAAUCAUGGAAUUCAGUUGAAAUUCAAGGUUGAUUUGCUUUUUUUUUUUUGUGAUUUCAAUUUUGGGGUUCGAUUGCUGCGUAGUCGAAGUUUCUGUUCGAGGUGUGGCAUGUUGUUCUGAUUCGGGUUCGCAGUUCCGAGCUCAAGUGUCGCCAAGAAUUCUGGUCAAGAAUCGUCGAGUUGUUUAACCUCUUGUGAUUAUAAUUUGGUUGAUUUAUACCAAAGGUUCGUUCCUCGCGUUUUCUCGAUUGAUUAUUUUGUCCGCUUACAUUGUUAUUUGUUAGUGUAAUUAUCAGUAAUAGUCCGUUUAUUGAUGUUUGGAUUGUUGAUGAAUUGCUAAAGCAGUGAUGAGAUGAGGACAUACAUUCGAAACAUAGGAUUCAUACAAAAUUUAUUCUGCCAUCCAAAAUAUUGAUUUUAUAUGUAACUUAAGCAAAUAAACUUAUAUGAUAAGGAUACUUCCAUCACUCACAUUAGGGAAUUAGCGAAGAAGAGGCAAUCUAACAUUAAGAAUGUUGUGAAUGUACACUAUCUUGGAUGCCUGUUGCUGGCUUUGUACGGAAAUUUUAAGUUGGUUUAGAGGUGUUUUGGUAUUGGUUUGAACAAUGAAUUUGGAUUGGAGGAAAUUAACAAGAUUUUUAAAAGUAUCUUUGGGGUUAUAUGUUUAAUAGCCACAUUGAACGUGAUAGGAGCUUUAGGCGCUCUUAAUUAAUAAAUUUAUCGCGAUUAUGUAUACGUUCGCGUAACAUAAUUACGAUUUUCAAAACAAAACUGGAGUAUGGGUUCGCGCAACUUUGGUCAAAAUUUUAUUAAUAAUAAUAAAGCGUUAUUGAUUGUGGAUACGUUCACGCGACAUGAUUUUUGACGCACCAAAAAAAAUGGGUACACGUGUGUGUGACCUGUUUAAAGAUAAAUUCUUAAUAAAAAAGGCAAAUGCAUAUAGGUUCUAAAAUAAGUAAUUAGACAAUUUGUUUAAGCCAAGUAUGAUCAAAGCAACCGUGCUAGAACCACGGAAUCCGAGAAUGCCUAACACCUUCUCCAAGGUUAACAGAAUUCCUUACCCGGAUUCUAUGUUCGUGGACCGUAAAUAGAGUCAAACUUCCUCAAUUCGGGAUUUUAAAUCGGUGACUUGGGACACCAUAAAUUAUCCCAAGUGGCGACUGAAUUUUAAAUAAAUAAUCCCGUUUUCGAUUGUCACUUAAAUUGGAAGAAACACCCUUAUACACCUUCCGGGGGUAGUAAAAAGGAGGUGUGACAGCUCUGGCGACUCUGUUGGGGAUGAGAACCCAGAACUUCUGGUUCAAGAAUUCGAGCUUGUUAAUAUGAUUUUACUUGGCUUCAGUUAUUGUUAAUAUUACUGUAUUCUGUGAAUUUUUUGUGGUAACUGUUGCCUGUUUACCGCUUUGAUAUUAUUUGAAUUGUAUACAACUGUCCACUUACGCCACCCCUCUGAUUCUUCUGAAAAUGGUGCACACGUUCGCGUGACUCGCUUUUUCUGUAAAAGUUAUACCAAGUAGAACGAGGCUGGACCAGCAACAAGGUCGAGUAGACUUUAAUGCUCCCGGUACGUUGCCCCCUUUUCGGCUCGAGUUGUCCGCUCGGGUAAGCCAGGUCAAGAACACAACCUUAGGUUUAAACUUAGAAUAACAUAACCUCAUGCUGGAUCCCUAGUAGGAACGUUUGCUUGCAUCACAUGCAUUUGACUUUGGGGACUCAACACAGGGGUUGGGUCCGUCUAGGAUAGCUUUACUCAAAAUAACAGACCAUCUUCAUGCAUCAUAUGUACUACAUAUUGCAUUUCUUCAAGGGUAAAAUAGUCAUUUGGCGGACCAAUGAUAGUUGAGUGCAAAGAAACAAAGAAAAAAUGAAAAAAGAGGGUGAAGUGUGAAAAUAAAGCAAGUAGGGCCCGAUUAUGUUUUAUGUCACAUUUUGUUAAGGUAAAAAAAACAUGGAAAAAAAAAAAAAGGUUUUGCACUUUUUCAUCAUUUUCCAAAAAAAAAAAAAUCAAAAAAGGGGGAAAAGAAAAUCCAAAAAGAGUUUACAUGUUUCAUCAUUUUCAAAAAAAGACAAAAAAAAAAUAUUUUCUCUAAAUUAGUUAUUUUUUUUUAAUUAUCAUCCGUAUCCAAUCUUCCUAGUGAAUCUUAGGUUCUUGGCUUUGCGGGGUCUUAGCCAAAUUUUGCACUUCUAGCCACUUUUUUGGCCACAUAAGCCAUUUUGCAAAAAUAGCCUCAACUAUGUCUUGCAUGUGUCUAGUAGGAAAUAUUAUUGUCUCACAUAGUGUUGGUUUCAAUUUUUUCAUAUAGGUGUGGAUCUACUUACAGGAGUUUGAGUAUGACAGAUACCCCAUGACCACUGCAUUUGUCACACCUCCUUUUUCCAAUCCCCGGGAGGGUAUAAGAGAGUUUUUUUCAAUUUAAGUGACAACCGAAACGGGAUUAUUUUUUAAGUUCAGAGUCGCCACUUGGGAUGAUUUAUGGUGUCCCAAGUCAUCGGUUGAAAUCCCGAAUCGAGGAAGGUUUUGACUCUAAUUAUGGUCUGCGAACACAGAAAUCCGGGUAAGGAAUUCUGUUAACCCGAGAGAAGGUGUUACGCAUUCCCGGGUUCCGUGGUUUUAGCACGGUCGCUUAACUAUUAAUAUUGGCCUAAUUAUCUGAUUAAUUACACAUUUAGAACCUACGUGCAUUUUUAACUUUCUAACCGCUUUUAAUAUUUAUGGAAUUAUUUUACGGAACAAGUUGCAAUUGUCAUACACUUGCCGUUUUGGAACACACCGCAAACCACGCUACAUGAAAUGCACCUGUGAUUCAUGAUAUGUUUAUUUUAUUAUUAUUAUUUGAAGUUGUUAUGGUCGACUCAUAUGAAAUGUACAUUCGAAUUUGGAUUUAUGUACCAUGACUAUGCCACGAGAACCGUACCCACAGUCAUUAUAGUUAAUUUACGCGCCUAAAGCAUUACUACAAAUGUUUAUACGUCAUUCUAAAUUCAAGAUUGUUGUGAUCAAUUCUUUAGAUUAUUCUUCAAUAUGUCUACUUGAUAAAUAAAGCAUUUGGUUCAUUUCUUAAACUCCAAUUAUUAAAAAAAUCCGUUUCUUUUAGUGACAAUAGACGUUAAAAUUAAGUAUAUUGUAAAUAUGUAAGUAUUCCCCUCCAAGAUGUUCCAACAGGUUUAUCAAAUAAGCUUACAAGAAUUCAACAAAAGGAAAUAAUAUUUGAUAUAGGGUUCUGCAAUCAUUCUCAAAAUUUAACUUCAUUUUUUGCAUUGAAACCAAAAAGAAAAAUCUCAAUCAAUAUUAAAACGAGCUAAUACACUAACCCAACAAUUGCAUCUAACACGUGACUUGACCCAAAGUAUUAACAAGAUUCUAUCCAAAAUAUUUUAAGCAACAGACAUCAAACAAAGCAAUCCAACUUUCCAUAAACUCAUAGUAAAAAAAUGACAAAAAGAGCUUAAAUCCAACAAAAUUCAUUGUUCUUCAACUCAAAAUUCGGUCUACUCCUAAAAGCCCUUAGAAAACCUUCAUACUUUCUACUAUUAGAAUAUUAGUAUCAAUAUCUCAUUAAAUCUACUGCUACUCAUAAUAUUAAGAAUCCAAGAGCAAACAUACAUAAGAAGUAAAGAAUUAAAGCAUAAGUAACAUGGAUCUAAAAUAUUUAAAUAAUGGAGAGAUGAUAUAGAGUAGUAAAAGAAAGAAAGAAUCGGACCUUAAGUAAUGAAACUUUUCCCAUGUAUUGAUAAGAAAUUUCAAAUAAACCAGCUGAUACAGUUGCAUAUGUCAAACCCAAUGCGAAAACAUAGAAACUGAAGCAGAGCUAACGGACAGAGCUCGGACGAUCUCGCAUUUGACGUCAAACCAUGCCUUUUGAAUGGGUUUUGCCUCAAAUAUUUAAGCAAUUUGGGAUGAAACUAGUGGGUUUUAAUAGUGAUUAUUGGCUAGUUUAAAGUGGUAUUUUUGGGGUAGAAGAGCUGAAAUUUAGGAAAUAAAAUUAUCCCCCAUCCACUGUACCUCACGAUUCUUGCCGUUUCCCCCUUUCCUUGUUUGUUUGUCCCUUUCUCGUGAGUCUUGUCCCAAAACGGCUAAUGUGCUCCCUCUA